GAUUUCGUUAGCUGUGACCCACGUGACCAGAGCUGCCCUCUGUCCCUCAGACACAAGUAUUUUAAAAGGAAAGUUUUAUUAUUAAUCAGAGAUGGAGGUAAAUAGAAAACCGGCAUCUGUGUAUUACACAUAGAAAGUCACCAUAAAAAUAAACACAAUGAAUACUCUUCAGCAAAGGGAAUGAAAAAUCUGCAACUACAUACCACUGAACACAAAUGGAAAUCACCAACAACAGGUUGAGGGAGCGAAGCUGAGCCCAGGUUUGGAGGGGCAUUGGAAGGGAAAUGACUUUCUCACUGUGCAAUGCCAGGCUUUGUUCAAGCAUUUGGGGAAACAAUGAGGAGGCAGCUUAUUCCCAGCUCCAGGGCAAGGGGAGCCCGUGGAAAGCACUGAGUUCCCCAGUUGGUGCCUCCUCGGUGACCACUCCCUCCUUUCUCACGCUCCCACCCUGAGCUUCAGCAGAAACCCCCUUCUGCAAGGAUGGCCCGGAGCCCCAACUCCAUAGCAACCCACGACAGCCCUGAACCCG
rnacentral:lncRNA from 1 species